rnacentral:rRNA from 1 species
UGGGGAAUAUUGCACAAUGGAGGGAACUCUGAUGCAGCGACGCCGCGUGAGUGAUGAAGGACUUCGUUUCGUAAAACUCUGUUCUAUGGGAAGAAAAGGACUGUACCAUAGGAGAAAGCUCCGGCUAAAUACGUGCCAGCAGCCGCGGUAAUACGUAUGGAGCGAGCGUUGUCCGGAAUUAUUGGGCGUAAAGGGUGCGCAGGCGGCUUUACAAGUUGGAUGUGAAAUAUUGUGGCUCAACCACACACGUGCAUCCAAAACUGCAAAGCUUGAGUUAAGGAGAGGUAAGUGGAAUUCCUGGUGUAGCGGUGGAAUGCGUAGAUAUCAGGAGGAAUACCGGUGGCGAAGGCGACUUACUGGACUUAAACUGACGCUCAGGCACGAAAGCGUGGGGAGCAAACAGG